rnacentral:rRNA from 1 species
UACGGAGGGGGCUAGCGUUGUUCGGAAUUACUGGGCGUAAAGCGCACGUAGGCGGAUCAGUCAGUUAGAGGUGAAAGCCCAGGGCUCAACCCUGGAACUGCCUUUAAUACUGCUGGUCUGGAGUCCGAGAGAGGUGAGUGGAAUUCCGAGUGUAGAGGUGAAAUUCGUAGAUAUUCGGAGGAACACCAGUGGCGAAGGCGGCUCACUGGCUCGGUACUGACGCUCAUGCACGAAAGCGUGGGGAGCAAACAGG